AGAGUUUGAUCCUGGCUCAGAACGAACGCUGGCGGCAUGCCUAACACAUGCAAGUCGAACGAACCCUUCGGGGUUAGUGGCGCACGGGUGCGUAACGCGUGGGAACCUGCCUUUAGGUUCGGAAUAACAGUUGGAAACGACUGCUAAUACCGGAUGAUGUCUUCGGACCAAAGAUUUAUCGCCUUUAGAUGGGCCCGCGUUGGAUUAGCCAGUUGGUGGGGUAAAGGCCUACCAAGGCGACGAUCCAUAGCUGGUCUGAGAGGAUGAUCAGCCACACUGGGACUGAGACACGGCCCAGACUCCUACGGGAGGCAGCAGUGGGGAAUAUUGGACAAUGGGCGAAAGCCUGAUCCAGCAAUGCCGCGUGGGUGAUGAAGGCCUUAGGGUUGUAAAGCUCUUUUACCAGGGAUGAUAAUGACAGUACCUGGAGAAUAAGCUCCGGCUAACUCCGUG
rnacentral:rRNA from 1 species